rnacentral:rRNA from 1 species
GGUUAGUUUUACCCUACUGAUGACUUGUCACUGCGAUAGUAAUCCUGCUCAGUACGAGAGGAACCGCAGGUUCGGACAUUUGGUUCAUGUGCUUGAUCGAGCGGUCAGUGGUGCGAAGCUACCAUCCGCGGGAUUACGACUGAACGCCUCUAAGUCGGAAUCCCACCUAGACAAGGUAGUGAUAAUUUUAGCACCCCGUGUGCUUUGGGAAGGCAAUGCUAGGUGUGCGGUGCGACAGAGGGGGGUGCAUCCCUGGCCCGCCACCGGUUGAGCCUUUUCCACGGAGGAAAUCUUCGUCCAGUUGCGAGAGCCAUUGCACUGGCCUACCUCCGAUAUGGAACCAUGACGCAAAGCAGGGGCGCAAAAUCAUCCGUAGACGACCUAGGUGCCGGUCGGGGUGUCGUACUUAGUAGAGCAGCCACCACACUGCGAUCUAUUGAGACUCAGCCUUCGA